rnacentral:rRNA from 1 species
GAUGAACGCUGGCGGCGUGCCUAAUACAUGCAAGUCGAGCGAACAGACGAGGAGCUUGCUCCUCUGACGUUAGCGGCGGACGGGUGAGUAACACGUGGAUAACCUACCUAUAAGACUGGGAUAACUUCGGGAAACCGGAGCUAAUACCGGAUAAUAUAUUGAACCGCAUGGUUCAAUAGUGAAAGACGGUUUUGCUGUCACUUAUAGAUGGACCCGCGCCGCAUUAGCUAGUUGGUAAGGUAACGGCUUACCAAGGCAACGAUGCGUAGCCGACCUGAGAGGGUGAUCGGCCACACUGGAACUGAGACACGGUCCAGACUCCUACGGGAGGCAGCAGUAGGGAAUCUUCCGCAAUGGGCGAAAGCCUGACGGAGCAACGCCGCGUGAGUGAUGAAGGUCUUCGGAUCGUAAAACUCUGUUAUUAGGGAAGAGCAAAUGUGUAAGUAACUAUGCACGUCUUGACGGUACCUAAUCAGAAAGCCACGGCUAACUACGUG